UGGCAUGCUUCCAGCAUGCCUGGGUCUGGAUUGACCCUGUGCAUUCCCCCAGUGCUUGCAAGAACAGUGUUGAAAUAGUUUGAGGCCUUGCUCUGGACCAUCUCUGAAGCGAGGCUAUAGAAAUUUCAGACAGAG